CGGCGCGGCGAUAGCAUGUUGAAUGUACCAGUUCCCAGUGGAUCACUGAAGUUAAGCAACAUUGGUAUCCGGAUGGAUGACUAUCUGGGCAAUCUCGCAUGCUGC
rnacentral:rRNA from 1 species